GACGAACGCUGGCGGCGUGCUUAACACAUGCAGGUCGAACGGAAAGGCCCUGCUUUUGUGGGGUGCUCGAGUGGCGAACGGGUGAGUAACACGUGAGUAACCUGCCCUUGACUUUGGGAUAACUUCAGGAAACUGGGGCUAAUACCGGAUAGGAGCUCCUGCUGCACGGUGGGGGUUGGAAAGUUUCGGCGGUUGGGGAUGGACUCGCGGCUUAUCAGCUUGUUGGUGGGGUAGUGGCUUACCAAGGCUUUGACGGGUAGCCGGCCUGAGAGGGUGACCGGCCACAUUGGGACUGAGAUACGGCCCAGACUCCUACGGGAGGCAGCAGUGGGGAAUAUUGCACAAUGGGCGGAAGCCUGAUGCAGCAACGCCGCGUGCGGGAUGACGGCCUUCGGGUUGUAAACCGCUUUCGCCUGUGACGAAGCGUGAGUGACGGUAAUGGGUAAAGAAGCACCGGCUAACUACGUG
rnacentral:rRNA from 1 species